CUAUGGAGCUCAAAAGUGGAAUCAAAAAGUUACCUGAAAGGCAGUUCGGAUCUCGGUACCCGCUUGAAGAUCUGAACCGGAUAAAGCAGACCUGCGACGCUUUCCACCA
rnacentral:sRNA from 1 species